rnacentral:rRNA from 1 species
CCUACGGGGGGCAGCAGUGGGGGAUAUUGCACAAUGGAGGAAACUCUGAUGCAGCAACGCCGCGUGAGGGAAGAAGGUCUUCGGAUUGUAAACCUCUGUCCUCAGGGACGAAAUUACGGGAACUUAAGGCGAAGGCCCGGCCAACUUCGGGCCAGCAGCCGCGGUAAUACGGAGGGAGCAAGCGUUGUCCGGAUUUACCGGGUGUAAAGGGUGCGGAAGCGGGCUUGCAAGGCCGGUGUGAAAACUAUGGGCUUAACUCAUAGAUUGCAAUUUAAAGUGUGGGGUUUGAGUGAAGUAGAGGCAGGCGGAAUUCCGGGUGUAGCGGUGAAAUGCGUAGAGAUCGGGAAGAACACCAGUGGCGAAGGCGGCCUGCUGGGCUUUAACUGACGCUGAGGCACGAAAGCGUGGGUAGCAAACAGGAUUAGAUACCCUAGUAGUA